rnacentral:rRNA from 1 species
AGCUCUAAGAAAUAUUCAUUUAGAGUGGAAUCUGCCCAGUGUUUAUUGUUUAUUAACGGCCGCGGUACCUUGACCGUGCUAAGGUAGCAUAAUAAAUUGAUUUUUAAAUGAGGUCUGGAAUGAACGGGUGAACGGGAUUAAGCUGUCUCAUAAACUUUUUUUUGAAUUUACUAAUCAGGUGAAAAGGCCUGAAAAAUGAAAAAAGACGAGAAGACCCUUAGAAUUUUGACGGAUUUUUUUGUUGGGGCGACAUGGAGACAUAUUUUAACUCUCCAAGAACUUGCCGAUAUGUUUAUAAGAGUGAAUAAAUUACCUGAGGGAUAACAGCAUAAUCUUUUAAAUAGGUUUGUGACCUCGAUGUUGGACUAGGAAGCUGAAAGGUUAGCCGCCUUAUCAGAGGGUUCUGUUCGAACUUUUACUCCU